rnacentral:rRNA from 1 species
UGCAGUCGAGCGCGGGAAGCGAGUGGAUCCCUUCGGGGUGAAGCUCGUGGAACGAGCGGCGGACGGGUGAGUAACACGUGGGCAACCUGCCUGUAAGAUCGGAAUAACCCCGGGAAACCGGGGCUAAUGCCGGGUAAUACUUUCUUUCGCAUGAAGGAAAGUUGAAAGAUGGCUUCUCGCUAUCACUUACAGAUGGGCCCGCGGCGCAUUAGCUAGUUGGUGAGGUAACGGCUCACCAAGGCGACGAUGCGUAGCCGACCUGAGAGGGUGAUCGGCCACACUGGGACUGAGACACGGCCCAGACUCCUACGGGAGGCAGCAGUAGGGAAUCUUCCGCAAUGGACGAAAGUCUGACGGAGCAACGCCGCGUGAACGAUGAAGGUCUUCGGAUCGUAAAGUUCUGUUGUUAGGGAAGAACAAGUACCGUGCGAAUAGAGCGGUACCUUGACGGUACCUAACGAGGAAGCCCCGGCUAACUACGUGCCAGCAGCCGCGGUAAUACGUAGGGGGCAAGCGUUGUCCGGAAUUAUUGGGCGUAAAGCGCGCGCAGGCGGUUCCUUAAGUCUGAUGUGAAAGCCCACGGCUCAACCGUGGAGGGUCAUUGGAAACUGGGGAACUUGAGGACAGAAGAGGAGAGUGGAAUUCCACGUGUAGCGGUGAAAUGCGUAGAUAUGUGGAGGAACACCAGUGGCGAAGGCGACUCUCUGGUCUGUUUCUG